ACCUGCAGUUGGGCCAAUGAC
rnacentral:miRNA from 1 species